rnacentral:rRNA from 1 species
UGGGGAAUCUUCCGCAAUGGACGAAAGUCUGACGGAGCAACGCCGCGUGAGUGAAGACGGCCUUCGGGUUGUAAAGCUCUGUUAUUCGGGAAGAACGAUUCGUUUGUGAACAAUGAACGGAAGUGACGGUACCGAAAGAGAAAGCCACGGCUAACUACGUGCCAGCAGCCGCGGUAAUACGUAGGUGGCAAGCGUUGUCCGGAAUUAUUGGGCGUAAAGAGCGCGUAGGCGGUAUGGUAAGUCUGUCUUAGAAGUGCGGGGCUUAACCCCGUGAGGGGACAGAGACUGUCAUACUGGAGUCUCGGAGAGGAAAGCGGAAUUCCUAGUGUAGCGGUGAAAUGCGUAGAGAUUAGGAAGAACACCGGUGGCGAAGGCGGCUUUCUGGACGAGCACUGACGCUGGGGCGCGAAAGCGUGGGGAGCGAACAGG